ACUCCUACGGGAGGCAGCAGUGGGGAAUAUUGCACAAUGGGCGCAAGCCUGAUGCAGCCAUGCCGCGUGUGUGAAGAAGGCCUUGGGUUGUAAAGCACUUUCAGUCGUGAGGAAGGUAGUGUAGUUAAUAGCUGCAUUAUUUGUACGUUAGCGACAGAAGAAGCACCGGCUAACUCCGUGCCAGCAGCCGCGAUAAUACGGAGGGUGCGAGCGUUAAUCGGAAUUACUGGGCGUAAAGCGCAUGCAGAUGGUUUGUUAAGUCAGAUGUGAAAGCCCGGGGCUCAACCUCGGAAUAGCAUUUGAAACUGGCAGACUAGAGUACUGUAGAGGGGGUAGGAAUUUCAGGUGUAGCGGUGAAAUGCGUAGAGAUCUGAAGG
rnacentral:rRNA from 1 species